rnacentral:lncRNA from 1 species
AUAUCAGAUUUCACAUUAAAAGCACUUUCAUCUGCUCAAUGGCAUUGCUGAUGAAAUGCUGUUAAACUAAUAGAUUUGGUUUAGACAAGGUAAAAGAUGCACUGAAAGAAUUCUGUAAAGCCACAAAAGAUCCUGAAAGAGUGAGCUGUAGUCUUGGAGUGAAAUAAUAUUAAUUUUGAAUUUUCAGUCACUAUACACUAUGAACUAUUGUUCACUGCUCUUAACAUUACAAAAAAUCAAAGUCAUCUAAAUUUGUCUAAUUUAAGAGGAUCAAAAUAUAUACGUAUUUUUGACUUUUAAAAUAGUUUUUAUUUUUAUUUUUAAAAUGAUUUUUUUUCCAUUAUAGCUGGUUUACAGUGUUCUGUCAAUUGUCUACUGUACAGCAAAGUGAACCAGUCACACAUACAUAGAGACAUUCUUUUUCUCACAUUAUCCUCCAUCAUGCUCCAGCAUAAGUAACUAGUUCCUAGUUUUAUACAAAAUAGCAUUCCAAUAAAAUAUAAAGGAUGAGAACAAUGAAACAAAAAUAUUUUGCAUGACUAAGAAGAAGAAAUUCACAUACAAAUAAUCCCAAACUAACUUGUUUGCAAACUAUUUUUUGGCCACUUUAGGUCAAAGUAUAGUCUUGAUUGAGGGAGGUCAGAACAAAUUGACCCACAUACUGCUUUUAGGGAAGUGUCCUCAUAAUAUUCCAGAAUCAAAAGAGAAAGAAAAAUUCAAGAAAUACUGUUAUAUUCCAGAUAUUGCUUUAAAAGAUAAUGAAAACUGCCAUGUAAGGGAUAUUUACAUAAUAAAUUUAUUUAAUAAAAUGAAGACAUUUUGUAAUAUUUUCUUUAAUAACUAAUUACAUGUGACCCCAAGAGUAGUUGAAUGUAAUAGAUAAAAUGCAGAUUUUUUUCUGAAUGUAAGCGUUGCUUUAAAAAGCCUUGUUGAUAAUCAGGUGCUACCCCUUCUCAGAACAGAAUUUCUUCAGAUUGAAAUUAAAAACUCUGAGUUAACAGUGACUCAAGAAAGCUUGUCUAACUUGACAUUACUGACAAUAGAAAAUGAAUUAUAUUAAGAAUCUUGAUUACAGAGAGUAAAUUUUAAGUAUUCUCAUCACACACACACACCCAAAACUAUGUGAGGUGAUGGAUGGGUUAAUAAUUUGAUUGUGGUGAUCAUUUCACAGUGCAUUCGUGUAUCAUCAUUUUGUAUGCUUUAAAGAUGUAAAAUACUGGAGUUCCUGUCGUGGCUCAGUGGUUAACAAAUCUGACUAGGAACCGUGAGGUUACAGGUUCAAUCCCUGGCCUUGCUCAGUGGGUUAAGGAUCCAGCAUUGCCGUGAGCUGUGGUGUAGGUCAAAGACGAGGCCCUGAGCUGCUGUGGCUCUGGCAUAGGCUGGUGGCUACAGCUCCGAUUAGACUCCUAGCUGGGGAUCCUCCAUACGCUGUGGGACCAGCACU